CUGGACUCAUUUCAGGACUCUGAGCAGAGUUCUUAGGUCUGUAAGCCAAGCCACUUCUGUUUCUCUUUUGAGUUGCUAUAAAGUACAGACGAUUCUACCAACCUUGACACAAACGCCCAGCUGCCCCCAGUUCAGUGCCACAGAGAAAAGCCUUGCAGAACAGGUUGAGUUUGUGGAUGGGCAUGGGGUAGAAGGUAUCAUCUCUUCUCUAUCAAUGACUUGGGUGAUACUUCUGGCAACAAAACAGACAGUUCUCGGCCUCUGUGUUUUCAUUGUCCAACUGAAGAUUAGACAAGAGGCAGCAUGGGGUGGUGGAUAAAUCGUGGACCAGGAUUGAAGCGAAGAUCUGCUCAUCUGGGACACUCACCAGGGGCCCCAGGAGCUGAGGGGAGAUGCUGGAUCUCUAGGGGCUGUGGAAGAGCCCUCAACUGACUCCUGGAAGCGAGAAGCAUCUGUUAGGAUGAAGGGAACACCCAGUGAAGGGCCAACAGGAGACCUUCAAGGAGCCCCCAGAUGCUCCCUAAGAAAAAUGAUCAGCUCCAAACACCUGCCAUACCAAGAAAAAACAGAUCUAGUUCUAUUCACAAUCAAGCAGAUUUUUCCUGCUCCUACAUCUCCAUUCUCCCUCUGCAGCUACCCCUGACAGUCAGCAACUGUCCACCACGUUGGGCUCUGUACAGACUGAUGGUUCUGUAUUGUGAAUAUACUCUCCCCAGAGACACUGUUCAACUGCAGAAAUCUGCCCCUGUGCCUUUAGAAUUCACCAGCAUCCUGGGGUGAAAGAGAUCCAAGGGAAGUUUUACCUUUCUCUCUGCCUCUUGGCAGGCAACCUGGAACAAGUCUUGAUGCAUGAUCCCAAACCAGACUAGCUACAUAAUCUGUGGGGCCUAAGGUAAGAUGAAAAGGUAGGGACCCUUGUUUAGAAAUUAUUAAGAAUUUUAAGACAGCAAUAACAGAACAUUAAACCAAGAGUAGGGCCCUUCUAAGUGUGGAGUCCUAUGUAAACUGCACAGGUCAGGGGCCCACGAAGCUGGCCCUGACCCCAAAUUAUCUCUUCCAUUAGUAAGCACUUAUAGAGGAGUCCGGAAUGUGGCUGCCUUUGAGGGAGAUCUUCCUUAAACUGCACCCUUCACAGUGAAUUAAACAAGCAUCAGCCAGCAGUUCUCUUCUACCUCCUUCAAGCAGGAAACUAAGGCAAUGGGAGCUGACUAGUGGCCGUUGUAACAGGGGAAUUCUAUGAAUGCAAGAAAGUCUCAGCCCAGCAAUGUGGCCAUGGGUCCCAGAGGAAAAAAUUCCUUGGCAGGUAGUCUUCAUGUGAGAGCUCGGGACGGCUGGAACAUUUAUUUACCUGCAAUCAUGAGAACUGAAGAGUGACUCUCAGCUCACAAUAGCAUGGGCUGGUCCUGAGCUGUUCAGGAUUUUGUGGGCUGGGUGGUGUAAAUCCUGGCCAGAUUCUCCUGGGAGGCAGCCAUACCCCCCGUGGGCAGGAAAACCUCCUGAGAGACUAAACAGGGCAAGCUUUUAAAAAAACAAAAUAAUUAGUAGAAGGAAGAGUGAGCACUUUCAAGGGGUCCCCUUCGGGGUCCUCACGCCUUUAACCACCCCUCCCUUCUUGGCUCACUGGUGAGUGUCAGCCCAGCGGGGACACAAAGAGAUCCCAGCUACAUAUCAGCAGCUCGCAAAGCAGAAGAAAGGCUCUGGUGUCCGGGCUUACUCCUGUUCCUUCAUCGUCUUAGAAAUAGGGACUUGGAGGCAAACAGUCCCAUUACAAUGACGAAGACUACUCUCAACAUGAUGCACCCAAAUGAAUGCAUUUACCAGUUUGAUGUCUGCCUUUCUUCCUGGUUUGUAAGCUCUAUGAGGGAAUGGGCUGUGCCUACCUGAUUUCUUGUGUGCCAGAGUGUACAAAACAUGUUUCAAUGUAUUUGUUGAAUAAAUGAAUGAAUUUAAAAGGGAGAAGUGAAUGGAAAUUUUGUAGAGAUUUGUCAGGGCUCCUUAAAAGGCCUGGCUCUAUCUCCACUUGUCUUAGGUUGCAUUCCGUAGAAGCAGAUCCUGAUAAGAUGAUGAAGUGCACAUGUCUCUUGAGAAAAUGCUCUCAGGAGAAGGGGGGAAGGUAAGCCAGGUGCAGCAGAGGACUGAGCAAGGUUGGGGUCUCAGCUGGACACUUCUUGGACCUGUUCCCACGGGAGCUCUGGAGUAUGAACUGUACCACAGAAUUGUCUCACCUAGAGAUGCAGAACAGCAACCCAAGUCCCUUCUGGAAGCAGCCCUCUCCCUCCUGGCAGCUGACAGAAGUCUCUCUGGCCAGGCCGGCCUUUUGGCUGCUCUGCAUAUGGAAGUUCAAUUACUGUCAAUGGGAGGCCCAUCGGCAGGGUGAGGGCAGAAUACACAAUGGAGAUCGGUGUACCAGAUAGGCGCCUAGAUCAAAGAAGAACCCAGAGUUUGUGAAGUCCUUUCAUCCUCCCUGAUGAAAGGGAGAAGCUUACUGCUGUUUUCAUGGCUCUGCAUGCCCGGGGAAAGAGGAAGGCCACAGGAAGGGGAGGCACCUCCAAUCAGUCAGCACCAAACAGUGUUCCCAGGAGAAAAGCAAUGCCUUCAGCUUCUACUAGGAAUUAAGAAAACAGAGUACUGAGACCAAUUUAUUAUCACGCAGUUGGAUGAUAGGAAAAUGAAAACAAAGGUUAGAGGUGAACAUUAUAGAGGAGCCGAGUGGCCAAUGGCCAGAGAAACUUCAGGCAACAGAAGGAACACUGGGCUGAGCAAAAGACUUGGAUUCUUGUUCUAGCUCCAUCUCUCUCCCUUUGAAAAUGCACUUGAACCCCUCUGGGCUUUAUUUUUUUUUAUUUAUUUAUUUAUUUAUUUAUUUAUUUAUUUAUUUAUUUAUUUAUAAAAUGGUGGGGUGAGGAUUUCUUCAAGCUAAGAUCUUCCUGGCUUGAAGCUCUUAAAAUUUCUUGUUACUGCAGUCUUCCUAAGACAUUCCAUCUGAUGGUUUAUUCUUUUGACUCUGCCAUUUUACUCAACUAAACCUCAAAAUUCUUGACUAUGGAAGCCUCCAGAGGUGUUGUUAAAGCUUUAACUCUUUCAUUAAAAGCCAUGUGACUUGCUUUAUCCAAUGGGAGGUUAGUAGAUGUGACACAAACAAAUGCUCGAAAGAGUACUUGCAUGUUUCCAUUUACGUUUCUGUUCUUGCCUUCUGUCAUCACCAUGACAACAUGCCCAGUCUGGCUCCUGGAGGAUGGGACACACAACGUGGGAACCGGCAAGUCACCAGAGUCAUCUCAGCCAAGAUCAACCAAUAGUCAAUUACCAGGAACGUGAGAGAAUUCUGAGACCAGGACUGCUCAGCCACCUCUGCCUAAAAUACCAACACACAGAACAGUAAAGUGAAUGGAUGUUUAUUAUCCUAAGCCACUAUAUUUUGAGAUUGUACCUCAUGCAGCACUAUUAUGACCAUAGGUGACUGAUAUAAAAAGUAAGGAAUUAUGAAUCAUAAGAAAAAGAUGAACCAAGGAAAGAAUCAGCUUUGAAGAGGUGGUAAACUAUGGGAGUUGGGUAUGCUUUUCUGCAAUGAUCUUGUCUUAUUUUCUUUUUUUUUAAAGGAAGGCCUACCUGAAUAAUUCUGUGCAGGAAGAUAAAAGCAAGAUUAGAGUGAGACCUAUUCAGGGAGGUGUCAUUUUGUGAGCAGUUCAUGACCAUACCCAAUAAUCAGGGUCUGUCUACAUAUCUGAAUUUUAAUCCUUACAUAUAUGGCCUUAGAUGAACUAAAAUAAUUAUAAGAAGUUGUGUCAUUGUAGACUUCUAUUAAUAAACAUAUACCUACAUAUAUACAUGUUUAUGCACAAGAAUCAGCCUGUAUAGGCAUAUUUACCUAGGCAUAUUCAUUGCAUAGUGCUCUCAUGGUUGUGACUUGGGUGGGUGUAGCAAAGUGACAGGCCAGGAUCUCACCACAUAGGAAGAACUUUGGUCUGGCCAAGACAGGGCCAGCUAGUGGCCUCCCUGCCAUUAGCUCUGUCUGCCACCCAAGACAGAAGAAGCCAACAGUCCAAAGGGACAUAGCAGCUUCAUUUUGGUUCUAGUUAGUGGUGCCAUAGAAGAGGAACAGGCAGAUAGGAUCUCAUCUAGGCCAUGAGACAAGCAAGAGUUCUCAAGAAGGGUAGACUCUUAGAAACAGGAGGCCAGUGAGACAUGGAUCUAAGAGGCAUAGCCAGGUAGAAGCAGCCCUAGUCAAUGGCUAGAAGUAUAAUAUCCCAAUAAAAGAGGCAUUCUUAGAAAGCUGGGCAGCAUCUCAGGACCAC
rnacentral:lncRNA from 10 species